AAGCAGUCACACAGGACAUUUGGAAAGGAUUACUGAAGAAUGGAUUACCCAGUUCUAUAAUCAGCUAACCAGGAACAGGUCAGCUCAAGAUAUCUUUCAUCUAUUAAAAGGCCAACUACAAUUUAAUAAUGUAGAUUUCUUUGUAGAGAAGAAUUCAAAUCAAAGAUUUACAUUCUCUUGAAGGAUGCACUGGUUCCAAGAGUGCAGAAUAGAGGAGAGGAGAAAACCCUUUUGGAAUCUGGGUGACUAGCAUACAACUCAGUAGUCAACUCAGAUGCCCUGGUGGAAGACACGGCCCAGCCAGUGAGUCUGCGUCAGAUCACAAGGAGGCUAUUCUCGAUAACUUAAUCCCACACGCACGGCAGAAUAAGACUUCCUUCUCCCUUCAGGCUGGGCUGGCAAAACCACAAAGAAGCUGGAGGCUAAGUGAGGAUUGAGUAGCUAAGUCCAAGUUAUGGGCACCCCCGGCCGCAAUGCAACAGAAGAUGAGGCAGUCUGUUUACACAGAGGCCGUGGAGAAAACAGGCUAAACGAGGCACAUUUCAAAAUGGGGGGGAAAAUUGAAAGCCCAAUAUCUAAAGGCUCUUUAACUCCAUUACACUCAAGUUCCUUCCAAACUCUUGCUUGAGUAUCUGGAUUAUUCAGAUACACUGAGAAGCUGCUACAAGAGCAGGAUUUCAUAAUGCUAGAACACUGGAUAGUGACGUUUGGCCAGCCAGAAGGUACCAAGCCAUCAUCCAAAGAACGCGUGGGAUGGUUCUGGUCGCCAGAUCCUGGGACUGGUCCAGGGAAAAUCUGCUAUGCCCCAGCUCUGCCAAUUCCCUCAAUGUCAUUUUUCAGGGGACAAGCCCCGUUUAUGUGACCCAACCAUAUCACAGCAAGAAACUGAGAAAAGCAUGAAGUGCAGAAAACUGAGCCAUAAGGAGUAAAUAACAUUUUGAGGAAGUAAGUGUCGAAACAGAAGUCUGUAGAGAACGUGGAAUUAGCUUCGUAUCAGUGAGGGGUCCGUUUCCUUUCCCUAGGUGGAAAUUUGACUAAAAAGCUUGUAAGUGGCUUAAAAUUACAUGUAUCAGUAAGUUAUAUAUUUUGGAGGAUAUUUGGGCACACUUCCUCCAUUCCCUGAUUCUCAACUAUCUGCAAAAAAACUAGAUGAUAUCUCUAAAAGACUAAUUACCCAGAUAAAAGCACAGAUUUCGGAUUUCCAAGUCCUGCUCAACAAACUGUCAACCACAGUGAGCCCAUUGUGAUCAUUUUACCACUGUGAUUUCUGAACUGGUAACAAGAAAUCCUGGUGGCAGAACUUCCAGGCCUAACUAGACAAUGAUGAAGAACUCUCCUGUCAACGAACGGAAUCUGUUUUCUUAGGGCGCCAGAUAUUCUGCCAGGGCAUCUUUCCACUGCCUCCCUCAGAGUCCAGGAAUUGUUAAGCCCCCGCCUCCAAGAAGGGGAACACUUUAGAUCGCAACCCUCUUCCCCCGAACUGUAUGAAUCAUGUUCCAGGUAGUUUCUUCCUGUGGGGCUUGGAGGGAAAGCAAUUUAUUGAAACCUCGAUGCCUGAAAGGCUCUUACAAGAUGGAGAAGUUUUACUGGGUCUGUAUUUCUGUACCAAAUAGCUUCCCAUCAAGGAGAGUUGGGCUGUGCAGGCUGUUUCCCGUGGGGAGCCGCAUCCUCCCCAAAGGGAUUCUGACAAGGUGCUAAUGUACCACAUAAGUGACUGCUAAGGUCACUGAGGUGUCCAUUUACACCUGUCAGGCUGAAAUUCUUCAGGCACCACAAGUGGGAUGAGACACAGGCUUCCCCAGUGCUGGGCUGUCACUGACUCAGUGCCACCCUCCAGGGCCUCUUCAGCCCUGCCCUUGGCACGAGAUCAAGCUAUGGUUCCAUUUCUGCUGUCUGCGUUCUGUGGCCAAGCAGACCUACUGAAUACCUGAGAUGACCAGGGAAAUGACUUGUAGCUCCCUUAGGGCUAAAUUUCAACAACCUGACAGGAAUUAAGUUCUGUGGCCUUUAAGUGGGGGCUAUAAAUGCCUAUCUGACUGGGCAGCUUCAGCUCAAGAGAGGCAAGAGAAACAAGAGUAUGUCUAGACUGUACAGCCCCCACCUGCACGCAUGUGGUAUAAAAUAACUGUGUUCAUACCAGACACAUCGGAGCACUUUUGGGAAUCCACCAUUAAAGCAUCAAAUACUUCAAA